rnacentral:rRNA from 1 species
AGAGUUUGAUCAUGGCUCAGAGUGAACGCUGGCGGCAGGCCUAACACAUGCAAGUCGAGCGGCAGCGCGGGGGCAACCCUGGCGGCGAGCGGCGGACGGGUGAGGAAUGCAUCGGAAUCUGCCCUGGUGUGGGGGAUAACGUAGGGAAACUUACGCUAAUACCGCAUACGCCCUACGGGGGAAAGCGGGGGACCUUCGGGCCUCGCGCAGCAGGAUGAGCCGAUGCCGGAUUAGCUAGUUGGUGGGGUAAAGGCCCACCAAGGCGACGAUCCGUAGCUGGUCUGAGAGGAUGAUCAGCCACACUGGGACUGAGACACGGCCCAGACUCCUACGGGAGGCAGCAGUGGGGAAUAUUGGACAAUGGGGGCAACCCUGAUCCAGCCAUGCCGCGUGUGUGAAGAAGGCCUUCGGGUUGUAAAGCACUUUUGUACGGGAAGAAAUCGUUUGGGUUAAUACCCUGAGCGGAUGACGGUACCGUAA